ensembl:lncRNA
AGGGACUGCUCUAGCAUUAUCCGCCCGGCCCAGUCAAACUCUUCACCUAAUUACGGAAACUCUCAAUGAAGGAGGUUAUUUUUAGCUGUUUAACUACCGCCUGGCGCUGCUGCAGCUCUGCGGCUCGUCGAGGCGGAGACACCGAGACAGAUCCGUGUUCUCACGCUCUGUGCUGGAACGGAGAACUUUUUAAGGUGCCCCAGAACUCGCCGGAGGGUCUUUUGAUGAUUUUCUCUUUCUGUGCAGGAUUCCUCCCCGUGACCACGCCAUCCGUCCGGAGGUACAGCCCUGAGAAACUGACACCCAGUGGACACGCCUCCUUCGCUGAAACUGACGCCCAGUGGACACGCCUCCUUCGCUGAAACUGACGCCCAGUGGACACGCCUCCUUCGCUGAAACUGACGCCCAGUGGACACGCCUCCUUCGCUGAAACUGACGCCCAGUGGACACGCCUCCUUCGCUGAAACUGACGCCCAGUGGACACGCCUCCUUCGCGAAACUGACGCCCAGUGGACACGCCUCCUUCGCUGAAACUGACGCCCAGUGGACACGCCUCCUUCAUAGGCGGAGUUUAGUUGUACCAGUUACAGUGCCUUGCAGAAGUUUUCACCC